UAGGGAAUAUUAGUAAUGGGCGCAAGCCUGAACUAGCAACGCCGCGUGUGCGAAGAAGGCCUUCGGGUUGUAAAGCACUUUUUGAGAGGAUGAGGAAGGACGGUACUCUCAGAAUAAGUCUCGGCUAACUACGUGCCAGCAGCCGCGGUAACACGUAGGAGGCGAACGUUAUUCGGCUUUACUGGUCGUAAAGCGCGUGUAGGUGGUUUGGUAAGUAGGGCGUGAAAGCUCCUGGCGCAACUGGGAGAGGCCGUUCUAAACAGCCGAACUCGUGGAUGGUAGAGGGAGGUGGAAUACCGGGUGUAGCGGUGGAAUGGGCAGAUAUCCGGAGGAAAACCAGUGGCGAAAGCGGCCUCCUGGACCACUCCUGACACUCAGACGCGAAAGCUAGGGUAGCAAACGG
rnacentral:rRNA from 1 species